UACGGAGGGUGCAAGCGUUAAUCGGAAUUACUGGGCGUAAAGCGCACGCAGGUGGCUGAGUCAGUCGAUUGUGAAAGCCCUGGGCUUAACCUAGGAAUUGCAGUCGAUACUACUCAGCUAGAGUAUGGGAGAGGGCAGUGGAAUUCCCGGUGUAGCGGUGAAAUGCGUAGAUAUCGGAAGGAACAUCUGUGGCGAAGGCGGCCAUCUGGACCAGCACUGACACUGAGGCACGAAAGCGUGGGGAGCAAACAGG
rnacentral:rRNA from 1 species